rnacentral:rRNA from 1 species
GAUGAACGCUGGCGGCGUGCCUAAUACAUGCAAGUCGAGCGAACGGACGAGAAGCUUGCUUCUCUGAUGUUAUCGGCGGACGGGUGAGUAACACGUGGAUAACCUACCUAUAAGACUGGGAUAACUUCGGGAAACCGGAGCUAAUACCGGAUAAUAUUUUGAACCGCAUGGUUCAAAAGUGAAAGACGGUCUUGCUGUCACUUAUAGAUGGAUCCGCGCUGCAUUAGCUAUUUGGUAAGGUAACGGCUUACCAAGGCAACGAUGCAUAGCCGACCUGAGAGGGUGAUCGGCCACACUGGAACUGAGACACGGUCCAGACUACUACGGGAGGCAGCAGUAGGGAAUCUUCCGCAAUGGGCGAAAGCCUGACGGAGCAACGCCGCGUGAGUGAUGAAGGUCUUCGGAUCGUAAAACUCUGUUAUUAGGGAAGAACAUAUGUGUAAGUAACUGUGCACAUCUUGACGGUACCUAAUCAGAAAGCCACGGCUAACUACGUG